GGACAGCUGACGGGCCAUGCUGACUGUUUUGCUUGCUCUUUUACUUGGUGAUGGGGUUGGAAGCCUCAUCAUGCAGUGGCCAAAAAUAACCCUUAAGAGAGCUGGAGAGACUGUUGACAUCUCCUGCUACCAGAAUUAUACCACACUUGCCUAUAUGUACUGGUACCAGCAUCCUCCAAGACAUGGACUGAAGUUAGUAGCCAGUAUUGCUUCAUGGAUGAAGAACUCUUAUGAAGAAGGUUACAGCGAGGCCAAGUUUUACAUUACCAGAGACAGUAAUGAUUACUCUGUGAUGACGAUCAAGAAUGUGACAUACAAUGAUGCAGCCACAUAUAUCUGUGCUGCGAGCGAUCACACAGUAGAGGGAGAGGAUUGA